ACCCAUCUGACGAGUUCCAAAUAGGACGAAACUCACGUCCUGCAU
rnacentral:hammerhead_ribozyme from 1 species